rnacentral:rRNA from 1 species
UGAGGAAUAUUGGGCAAUGCCCGCAAGGGUGACCCAGCAACGCCGCGUGGAGGAUGAAUGUCGUAAGAUUGUAAACUCCUGUUAGAGGGGAAGAAAAGUACCGGUUGGACCGGUAUAUGACUGUACCCUCAGAGAAAGCCCCGGCUAACUACGUGCCAGCAGCCGCGGUAAUACGUAGGGGGCAAGCGUUGUCCGGAUUUACUGGGUGUAAAGGGCGCGCAGGCGGGAUAAAAAGACAGUGGUGAAAUCCUACAGCUUAACUGUAGAACUGCCUUUGAUACUUUUAUUCUUGAGUUCGGGAGAGAGACGGAAUUCCAGGUGUAGUGGUGAAAUACGUAGAUAUCUGGAAGAACACCAGUUGCGAAGGCGGUCUCUUGGUUCGACACUGACGCUGAGGCGCGAAAGCGUGGGGAGCAAACA